rnacentral:rRNA from 1 species
UACGGGGGGAGCAAGCGUUGUUCGGAUUUACUGGGCGUAAAGGGCUCGUAGGCGGUCCGUCACGUCGGGAGUGAAAACUCAGGGCUCAACCCUGAGCGUGCUUCCGAUACGGGCGGACUAGAGGUAUGCAGGGGAGAACGGAAUUCCUGGUGUAGCGGUGGAAUGCGCAGAUAUCAGGAGGAACACCGGUGGCGAAGGCGGUUCUCUGGGCAUUACCUGACGCUGAGGAGCGAAAGCAUGGGGAGCGAACAGG